GGGGGCGUAGCUCAGAUGGUAGAGCGCUCGCUUAGCAUGCGAGAGGUACUGGGAUCGAUGCCCGGCGCCUCCA
rnacentral:tRNA from 1 species